rnacentral:rRNA from 1 species
AAUCAACGCUGGCGGCGUGCCUCAGACAUGCAAGUCGAACGCGAAAGUCCCCUUCGGGGGACAAGUAGAGUGGCGCACGGGUGAGUAACACGUAGGUAAUCUACCUUCGGAUGGGGAAUAACAACCGGAAACGGUUGCUAAUACCGCAUAAUGCAGCGGCACCUAAUGGUGACAGUUGUUAAAGCGGGGGAUCGAAAGACCUCGCGUCUGAAGAGGAGCCUGCGGCGGAUUAGCAGUUGGUAAGGUAAUGGCUUACCAAGGCGACGAUCCGUAGCCGGCCUGAGAGGGCGGUCGGCCACACUGACACUGGCAUACGGGUCAGACUCCUACGGGAGGCAGCAGUCGGGAAUUUUGGGCAAUGGGCGAAAGCCUGA